GGGUUGUGAGGUUAAGCGACUAAGCGUACACGGUGGAUGCCCUGGCAGUCAGAGGCGAUGAAGGGCGUGCUAAUCUGCGAUAAGCGCCGGUAAGGUGAUAUGAACCGUUAUAACCGGCGAUACCCGAAUGGGGAAACCCAGUGUGACUCGUCACACUAUCAUUAACUGAAUCCAUAGGUUAAUGAGGCGAACCGGGGGAACUGAAACAUCUAAGUACCCCGAGGAAAAGAAAUCAACCGAGAUUCCCCCAGUAGCGGCGAGCGAACGGGGAGGAGCCCAGAGCCUGAAUCAGCAUGUGUGUUAGUGGAAGCGUCUGGAAAGGCGCGCGAUACAGGGUGACAGCCCCGUACACAAAAGCGCAUGUGCUGUGAGCUCGAUGAGUAGGGCGGGACACGUGGUAUCCUGUCUGAAUAUGGGGGGACCAUCCUCCAAGGCUAAAUACUCCUGACUGACCGAUAGUGAACCAGUACCGUGAGGGAAAGGCGAAAAGAACCCCGGCGAGGGGAGUGAAAAAGAACCUGAAACCGUGUACGUACAAGCAGUGGGAGCCCCACCACUAAGCCAGUGGUGAACUCCACAUACGCAUCCUUUGCUGAGGAUACGGUUAACGGAGCGAAAGCGACGUUCAACCGCAAAAGAAGCAGAGGGGGCUUAGUGGUGGGGUGACUGCGUACCUUUUGUAUAAUGGGUCAGCGACUUAUAUUCUGUAGCAAGGUUAACCGAAUAGGGGAGCCGGAGGGAAACCGAGUCUUAAUUGGGCGUUAAGUUGCAGGGUAUAGACCCGAAACCCGGUGAUCUAGCCAUGGGCAGGUUGAAGGUUGGGUAACACUAACUGGAGGACCGAACCGACUAAUGUUGAAAAAUUAGCGGAUGACCUGUGGCUGGGGGUGAAAGGCCAAUCAAACCGGGAGAUAGCUGGUUCUCCCCGAAAGCUAUUUAGGUAGCGCCUCGUG
rnacentral:rRNA from 1 species